CCUCCGGGUGGCAGCAGUAGGGAAUUUUGCGCAAUGGGCGAAAGCCUGACGCAGCAACGCCGCGUGAUUGAUUAAGCCCUUCGGGGUGUAAAGAUCUGUCAGUGGGGACGAAACUUGACGGUACCCACAGAGGAAGCACCGGCUAACUCCGUGCCAGCAGCCGCGGUAAUACGGAGGGUGCAAGCGUUGUCCGGUAUCAUUGGGCGUAAAGAGGUCGUAGGUGGCAUAUUAAGUCUGGUGUUAAAUGCAGACGCUCAACUUCUGUUCGGCACGUGAUACUGGUAAGCUUGAAUGCGGGAGAGGGAAAGGGAAUUCCUGGGGGAGGGGUGAAAUGCGUAGAUAUCAGGAAGAACAUCGGGGGCGUAAGCGGUUUACUGGGCCGUAAUUGACAUUGAGGAACGAAAGCCGGGGUAGCAAAUGGGAUUAGAUACCCGUGUAGUC
rnacentral:rRNA from 1 species